rnacentral:tRNA from 1 species
GCCUGGGUGGCUCAGUCGGUUGAGCGUCUGACUUCAGCUCAGGUCAUGAUCUCACGGUUUGUGAGUUCGAGCUCCGUGUCAGGCU